rnacentral:rRNA from 1 species
GACGAACGCUGGCGGCGUGCUUAACACAUGCAAGUCGAACGGAAAGGCCUGCUUUCCCUUGUGGAUUGCGGGUACUCGGGUGGCGAACGGGUGAGUAACACGUGAGUGAUCUGCCCCCAACUUGGGUAUAAGCCUGGGAAACUGGGUCUAAUUCCCGAUAGGACUGCAGGGUGGUGCCUGUGGUGGAAAACGAUUUUCUAGUGGUUGGGGAUGAGCUCGCGGCCUAUCAGCUUGUUGGUGGGGUAAUGGCCUACCAAGGCGGCGACGGGUAGCCGGCCUGGGAGGGUGGACGGCCACAUUGGGACUGAGAUACGGCCCAUACUCCUACGGGAGGCAGCAGUGGGGAAUAUUGCACGAUGAGCGGAAGCCUGAUGCAGCGACGCAGCGUGGGGGAUGACGGCCUUCGGGUUGUAAACUCCUUUCGACCGCGAGGAAGCCACCUGGUUGGAAGGGUGGUGACGGUAGUGGUAGAAGAAGCACCGGCUAACUACGUG